AUUCAACUGAAGAGUCCCUAAUAGGACGAAACGCGCGUCGUGGUU
rnacentral:hammerhead_ribozyme from 1 species